ensembl:lncRNA
GGGGUUUCUGUACAGCACUUUGAGAUAUCAGCUGAUGUAAGAAGGGCUUUAUAAAUACAUUUGAUUUGAUUUCUACUCCCAAGUUGUUACACAGGAGAUAUGUGCCUUACAACAGGCAGGUUCUGUCCACCCCCCAGGUUACCUCCUUACAACAGGCAGGUUCUGUCCACCCCCCAGGUUACCUCCUUACAACAGGCAGGUUCUGUCCACCCCCAGGUUACCUCCUUACAACAGGCAGGUUCUGUCCACUCCCCAGGUUACCUCCUUACAACAGGCAGGUUCUGUCCCCUCCCAGGUUACCUCCUUACAACAGGCAGGUUCUGUCCACUCCCCAGGUUACCUCCUUACAACAGGCAGGUUCUGUCCCCUCCCCAGGUUACCUCCUUACAACAGGCAGGUUCUGUCCCCCCCAGGUUACCUCCUUACAACAGGCAGGUUCUGUCCCCUCCCAGGUUACCUCCUUACAACAGGCAGGUUCUGUCCCCUCCCAGGUUACCUCCUUACAACAGGCAGGUUCUGUCCACCCCCAGGUUACCUCCUUACAACAGGCAGGUUCUGUCCCCUCCCAGGUUACCUCCUUACAACAGGCAGGUUCUGUCCCCUCCCAGGUUACCUCCUUACAACAGGCAGGUUCUGUCCACCCCCAGGUUACCUCCUUACAACAGGCAGGUUCUGUCCACUCCCCAGGUUAAUGUUCCUUACAACAGGCAGGUUCUGUCCACUCCCCAGGUUAAUGUUCCUUACAACAGGCAGGUUCUGUCCACCCCCAGGUUACCUCCUUACAACAGGCAGGUUCUGUCCACCCCCCAGGUUACCUCCUUACAACAGGCAGGUUCUGUCCCCUCCCCAGGUUACCUUCUUACAACAGGCAGG